rnacentral:rRNA from 1 species
AGAGAAUAGAUACCCAGGUAGUCCAUGCCGUAAACGUUGGGCACUAGGUGUGGGGGACAUUCCACGUUUUCCGCGCCGUAGCUAAACGCAUUAAGUGCCCCGCCUGGGGAGUACGGCCGCAAGGCUAAAAACUCAAAGGAAUUGACGGGGGCCCGCACAAGCGGCGGAGCAUGCGGAUUAAAUUCGAUGCAACGCGAAGAACCUUACCAAGGCUUGACAUGGACCGGACCGCCGCAGAAAUGUGGUUUCCCCUUUGGGGCCGGUUUUACAGGUGGUGCAUGGUUGUCGUCAGCUCGUGUCGUGAGAUGUUGGG